GGACUUUGCAUAUUUUCAUGUAAUUUAAUACAAACAGGUCCAGAUUUGUAGAAUCACGUGCACAAAAAUUGUGUGCGCACAUUCUGUGUGUGCAGUUCUGCUCUUACCCAACAGAGUACGAGAGAGGAACAGCUUCCGUGGUCUGGAUCUGCACUGUGGCUGGGAAUCCACGUGCCAAAUGAAGCAUGAGCUAGGAUCUAGCAGUCUUCUACUACGUAGAAGAAGGAUCGCAGAGAAGUAUCAGUAAGUAGUAAUGUUGUGAAGGAAGUUAAAUUAUAAACCAAAAUCCAUGAAAUGUUGAUUGUUGGCUUCUGCCAGUGUUUCAGUAACAUUAAUGAAAGACUGCUCCGUCUUGCCUUGCUCACUCAGCGCAGCGCUUGGCCCUGAAUGCACGAGUGGGCUCCGGGGCCGUGCUGCUGAGCGCUGUGAGGGACGGUCUGCUGCCUGCACUGGGGCAUGGCACCACCAUGGUCCCAUGGGGGCACGGAAGCUCCUGGCCGCUCGGGCAGAGAGGUAUAUUUUCCAGGAGUGACUGUGAAGAAAGAGAAAUGCAGCCAUGCAUUUGUUUUUAAGAAGCGCAGAAGGCACUGUGCUCAAAAACCUUACCUGUCUGGGCUUUGGCAUACGGCAGCUGUCUGAGCAUCUACAGAAGUUGGAGAAGAUUUCCAAAACCAUAGGCAAAAUUCCCCCAUCAGCAGGAGUGUGGUCGGGGUGUCCAAGGGAUCAGGAUUCUCCGUGCAGCGUCUGACUUUGCCAGCUCUGUGUGUGGGCACCAUGGCUUGCCCUUCCGUGUGGGUUUCUGCAUAUUUCCAGGUGUUUGCACAGGAGUCUUUUGCAAAACACUUCGUUGUCUACCAGAAGUAGAAUUAAUAUCAACUUGAAUUUCUAACUAGAGAGUCGAUUUCAAACCAUAUUAGAUUUUGAAAUUAAUUUAAUCUGGAAA
rnacentral:lncRNA from 1 species